UUCAGAGGAGUCAAAAGAUCGGAGAUGCCAACCGAGCCAUCGUCCGCGAGUCCCGUCACUGGCACGACGUCUUCGGGUCAGCUAUCUUUGUGAUCCACCUCAUAUGCUUAGGCUUCGUGCUCGCGGUGCUUGGACUCAACAUGUUUACUUGCAUCAUGUAUUGGCAUAUAAGGUGAUUUGGACAUUCUAAUUAGAGAAAGCGCGGGCAAGGCAUAACGGAAUAUUGCUGGAAAACGCCACUACGAUGAUCUCUAGAUUGACGGUUGGCUUUAUAUUGAUUACCCUUCAGAUAUUUACAUCAUCGCUCAUCGGGUAAGUAUGAAAAGGAUUCUACCAUGUUCCUCUGAUUAGAUUAAUCUAAACUCCUUUGUGUUGACCUCCUCUGAUGGUAGAAACGCUGACACCAAAGAAGUUGCUUAUUCUAGCUCUUCAGGAAGCUGAGAGAAAUGGAAAUAGCAUAUAUAUUAUCUGCCUUAUCCGUGAGUACAAUUAUUCCUUCCACUCAAGCCCUUUGAUUAGUGUUCCGGAUUAGUCUGGGGCUUUAUUUAACUGCUACUGGUUACAAUAUGAACCUUUGUGUCCAUGUAUGUGAAAUAACUACUGCCCAACCCUUCCUUUGUUUAGUCAUGUGUUCUCCACAGUACAAAUGUUGUGAAAUAGAUGUUCCCAUUAUCGAGGAGAUACGCCAUACAUGUUCCACCUAUCUGUUAUGCUUCCAUCGUGGCAUUAGUUUGUUUUGUUUCCAUGAUAAGGUGGCUAAGAUUUGAUGCUUUUUGAUCAGGUGGCUAAUUGAUGCUCACUGCAGGUUUCAACUGAAUGAUCACUUUGGUUUACCCCAAAAGAGAGGGACUAGCUUAACUUUUUCAUUGAGUGUUAUCAUCAUUAAGCCUUGCGCUACAGGUCAGACCCAUCGAAUAUGCUCCCUGUUUUAUAAGUACCACACUGUGCUCUUUGGUGUCUGGAGGAAAAAAAUCUGCUCUCAGAAUUCAAAAAGUUUCCAUAUGGCGGAAGGGAUGUAACACUUCUGAAGUCAUUUGAGUUCCAGGACCUUUAAUCACGUGGUCAGUCGUUACCGUUUCAAUUUCAACAGUGGUCACUCCACUUUGGGUCAGCUUGCACUCAAUUACAUGCCAGUUAAGUUCAAGUUUCUUGAGCAAGAGCGUGCACUCGAACAGCACCUCUCAAUUUAGUUAUAGAGAUCCUGAAAUGGAGUGAGGAGACAACAAAUAUUUGCGUGAGUGUAUACUCUAUGUACAGCACUUAUCAAGUUCUUCUCAAAUCAGUGUAUUCAAAUUAAAAACAAGUCUAAUGUAAAUAGUCACCAUUAUCUGAACUGGUGAUUUCUACAUAUUGAUCUUAAUUGAUUGAGAUUCAGUUCACAGCAUUCAUUUCUUUUUUUUGAACUUGACCAUUGCAGCUAUUUGCAACUAAACCAUGACUUG